AGAGCUGAAGCAGAGACCCCAAUCCCAAUGGCAACCAGCGUCAUCGAGAAAUCCGGAAUCAAGAUCAUUAAAAGCCCUCCUGAAUCUAGGCUCUCUGACCUCGGCGUCAGAACUUGGCCCAAGUAAGCGUACCCCACUUACCAUAUACGCAUCCCCUUUUUUGGAGUCUUUUCUACUCCCUAGUAAUUUUUAAUUUUUCUUCCCCCACCUUCUCUUAGCAGGAAAUGAAUCCCUUUGUUUUUUUAAUUUCAAUAAUUGAAUGGUCUUCCGUCUCGUCUGGCUUUCGUGUAUAAAAUGACGACAUGGACAAAUUUUCAGAUCUUCUCGUUAUCGCUCGUCAUUACUACUGUAGUAUUCUUAAGCAAUUCUGGGCCUUUUUAUUUCAACAUGAAAUGAAUUGCUAUAUCAGCUUUCUGACUAUUACUCACUAGUUACUAAUAUUUGGGAAUUUCUCUGCCUUUCCCUUGCCAGCUUCUGGCUUGGUGUGAGAGGAGAGGGAAGGAUUUAUAAACCAUGUUUAUGCCUUUUUUUUUUCUUUUAAAGAUUUGAUUACUCUUCUUCUGCCAGGAUUCAAUUUUUCCUUGAAUUUUCCUUUUCUUGAGUGAAACUCACUUGUCGCAUUUUCCAAUUUUCUCAGCAUUGUUACACAAUUUUCUAGUAUGAGCUUCUUUAAACUUCUAUGGGUCAUAUUUUACGCGUUUCUCUCCGGUGUUUUUGUUAACCAACGAGAAGGUAGCUUUUAUUUCUUUAUAUUUUCACUAUGAAAUCCUUUAAGAGUUGGGAUUGACACCCUUGUUUUUCUGAAGAACAAUUACUGUAUUGUUUGGAUAAUAUUACCGUAUUCAGUCUCCCUUUAAAUUUCCUGACUUUUUUUCUAUCUGCCAUGACUGUUUGCAGAGAACUAUAGUCAUUGCAUGUCCCUUCUCUCCUUUGUUUUUUCUGUACUUAACAGUGUGGGGAGGGACUCUUUAUUGGUAGGGCGGGAUUUACUGAGCAAAGCGAGUAUUAAAGAUUGCCAAGGUUUGUUUUUUUACUUCUGGGCUCACAAAGCAACGAGGAGCGUAGGUCUAUCAGGAAACACCUUGGAACUAUUAAUUAUCAAGUGCACGAAACUUCUCAUUGAGUUCCCUUAUGGCACUAUGGGAGUAGGACACCUGGUAUGGGUGAUGGCUUGAAGUUGAACUAUGUAAUUUGUAGACUUUUGCCAUACUUUGAAGAUGAAUGACUAGAACGCUAAUUGUUGAAUGCAAAUUACAACGAUUAAAUGUGAUUGGGUGCAUUUCAUCAUUUAAGGAAAAUGUAACUACAUUUGUUGUGCUUUACUGAAACCUCAUUCAGGUGAUACUUCAUUCGAAAGGGAAAUAAAGAAAAGAGAAAAACGAAUUUUUAACCCAUAUAGUCUUUGUUGUGUAAACCAUGUUUGCAUAUACUGUUCUCUUGAGUCCAGGAAAUUUUGAAUACCUAUUCUUGGCAGUUGUUUGAAAUUUUCCUUGGUUCAGCUUUAAUUAACUGUGCCUAAUCCUAAUCGUUCUGCUUGGUUCAAUCGGUCUCACCGAACUAUUUUGGUUGACACCCCACUUCUGCUUGUUCGAAAUCAAUCGGCCCUAAUAGUUCGGAAGAAAAAGGCUGAGUUUUCUAGUAAAGAGUUGAACAAGGGAGGAAUAGUUCAGUGAGAUCGAUGGAACUACAUCCAAUAAUAAUCCUUUCUUUUGCCAUUCUUUCCUCCCUGUAGCACUUACCGUUGAUCACCAAUGUCCGAGCCUUGCCUGAUCAAUAUAGAAAAGAUUUCCCCAGUAGGGGGGAAGAGAGAGGCCUGUUCACUUAAGACAGGCGGUAGGAUUUUCAUUCAAGAGCUCCGUCUUUGGCUUUAUUAAUGCGUGACCUUCGAAAUCCAUGACCAAUAUCUGAUUACGUAACCCAAACCUAUGAGUCAAUACAUAUAAUUGCUGAGAAUUUCCCGUGGAAUAGCUCAAUUACCUAAAUACCUGUAACUGUAAUAUAUAUAUAUAUAUAUAUAUAUAUAUAUAUAGAACAGACACACUCUUAGAGCUACUUUCCUACCAUGAUGACCAUAUCCCAUAUCCACUCUCUUCGAUGAUACACGCUCUUGAUUCUUCAGUUUUUACAAUGUAACAAGGGGCUGUGUGCUUGAAUAAGAGAAUGGUAUGUUCCUGAUAAGUUCUGAUUGAUAGUUUCAGAGUGGGUGAUACAUUGUAUGAAUUAAGUUGAAAUUGUGCAAUACACACACCCGCCAAUUCACUCCCACUGGUUCUUUUCUUAGCAUCCUUGUGCUGUUCCAUCCAUAUAACUGAAUUAUCAAGCUUAAGAAUAAGCUAAAUUAAGUUGCAAUAACAUUUGUGGUACUGAUAUGUUUUCUUAGGUGGGAAGUCUUGCUUCCUUUGUAGCCACGCAAAAAUUUUAGUCUCCAAGUAUUCAUGAAACCAAGUGAUUUUGAAUUUCAAUUCAACAUUUAUCUUAGUCUUUUUGCUUUUGCUUGUUGAGCAAUAGCACAUGUUUCCUGUGUACGAUAUGGCUACAGACACAAUGGUCUACCUUGUUAAUAGCUCUAUUGUUCCGUAGGUGGGGGUGUCCUCCUAGCAAAUUCCCAUGGACAUCUCAAGGAAACGUGCUACCUACUGAAGGGAAAGGUUAAAGUCUAUCCUGACGGAUCUGAGGAAGUUGUGGAAAUUGGUGCUGGUGACUUGGUUGAAUUCCCAAAGGGUAUGAGCUGCACUUGGGAUGUCUCAGAGGCUGUGGACAAGCAUUACAACUUCGAUUAACUGCAGUCUCGGUGCAUGGCUCUGCAAGUUUUACCAGCCUAUGAUUACUAGCAAAAUGGAUAUUGAACAGUGAUUAUUACUUGUCUACGUUGUCAAGCGUGCUUCUGCAGUUGUGAUGCUUCUAAAAUGUUGAAAUUACAUGAAAUCUCUAAUCCCAGAAGAGCAAAAAUUGCAACUGGAUACCGUGUAACUAGUUUGUCGAAUGUAGUGUUUGGACGCUGGUUUUGUAUCAAGGAAGGCAGACUGGCGGAUAAAAGAAGAUAUCUAGAAUUUUUAUAGUUACCGCAUAUGAUGCCUUGAGAAUGUUAGAAUGCUGUCGCGAACUGAGGACAUGUAUCUGGACUUCCAAAUUGAGGAUAGAUUCUACUUACUGUGCAUCAUAGGUGAGAAUGUGGUGUGUUUGGAUGGGAAAUAAUAUUGUUUAAAAUAAUUAUUAUAGCACUUUUCGUGAUAAUAAUGUAUGUAUGAUAAAAAAAUAAUUGACAAAAUAAAAAGAUGUAUUGAAAAUUAUAUUUGUGAUGCAACAAAUAAUUUCUAUUGAAAGAUUUUUUUUUUUUCUUGUUAAGCUCAGAAUUUUAUCGAAUCAAAAUAUAGAUUAUUUUGUCCAUACAAGCGAUUAACUUGAAGUACAACUCAUGCUUUGCAACCAUGUAAGAUAUACACGAAUAAUGUAGUACACCAAGCUAAAUGAAAAUAGAUUAGUCAAAAUGCCAAGCAAUGCUCGGUUUCUAAUUUUCCCUGCACUUUCGAACACCAUGUUUCCUAGCCAGUGCUGCGUGAACAUCAAACUUAAUCUGCUACAAUAUUUGCUCUGGCAUUCAAGUUUGAUGCUUAAAGAUUCUCAUAUUCGGUGCCUGCCAAACAAAAUAGAUUGUUGCUACAAAGGCCAAUCUCUACACAUAGUUUACAAAAUUAUCCUGAACCAUAUGCGCACACAGCCAAGACAGUUUCACACUCCGGGACGAGCUCCUCUAUACAUACUACGCAGAUGCACGACUUCCUUCCAUAUAGGAAAGGCAAAAGGGCAACUUAAAAUAAUUGGUCAACAGUUUCAACAUCAUUCCCGCAUAACACGCGUACAUCAUCAUUCACGACUCCACAAGCUUCCUACAUUGAUUUAGCGUCGAGUCUUUUUUUUUUGUCGAUACAGGGGUGUUCGGGUCAAUCCUUACGGGUCCCGACUAAUCCCCUGUGACCCGGACUCGGCGCCCCAACUCGGCCUCGAACACGUUAAGUGCGCGGAAAAAUCCAGCGGAGCGGAGACUCGAACUUGUUGAUCUCAAGAUUCACUGUGUGAGAGGCGCUUCCGCUGACCAUUCAUGCGGUGGCGUGUUGAAUCUUCCUCUACACACUAACCAUGUGAUAAAAACAGUCUCGAUAUAUGUCCCUUAAACCAAUGUUUUGAAAAUCGGACGGGACCGGCUGGUUGAAUCGUGAACCAGCCAUGAAACCGGUGUGAUUCUAUACUAUAGUUGUAUAUUGUCAAAUAACCGGUCAAGACAGGUUAAAUCCAUCAAACUAGUAAAUCCAGUUGAGCCGGUGAUUUUCGAUUUUUUAAUUUUCCCCUCAAUAUUUUUUUUAAAAUUUUGCAAAAUGCAACUAGCAAGUUUCAAACUCAAGACCUUUGUUAUAGAGACCAACAUAGUAACCACUACACCAUCACAUCCAAUUAAUCUCUUUUUAUACCAUAUUUAUAUGAAACAAAUAUCCAUCUUUCUUUUCUCCGUUUUUCCUAAAAAAUCUCAUCAUCUCAUGAUUUUUUUUCGAAUCUUCAACUCUCUCUCUUCUCUUUUCUUUUAUCAUCCCUUUUAAUCAAAUCUCUUUAGUUUUAAUUUAUUGAUUUUUUUCAUCUUUUAAUUUUUUUGUUUAUUAAAUUGAAAAAAUUUUAAAAAAUAAUUAUUUUUUAACCCUAAAGACUAAUUAUUAAAUGCUACAACCACACACUUGCAUCUCAUUUUUUGUUUCUUAUCAAGUUUUCAUCUCUAUUUUCGAUUUUCUUAACUUCCUCCAAACUCUAAAUUUCUUUUUUUUUUUAAAUUUCAAUAUCUAAAUCCCAAAAACGUGAAUUAAAAUUUAAACUCGCAAUAUCUAAUUCUCAUAUAUGUGAAUUUUGUAUAAUUUCAAAAUAUUGUGAUAUUUUUGGAUUGGAUUUAAGAUUUGUUUUUUGUAGAUAUAAUUGAGAUUGAGAUAAAAUGUAUUUGUUUUAACUUAUAGCUUAAAAAUUUUAUUUUGAAAAAUCCAAGUUCUUUGAAAAUAUUAAACUUUUCAUCAUAUAAAGUUUUAAAUUAGUCCAUUGCAUUGUGCAUAUAUAUAUUUAUAUAAAUUAUUUUUAAAAAAAUUCAUUGCACCAAGGUUGAACCGAUCCAAUUGGUUGAACCUUGACCCCGACACCUCACCAAUUCAAUUAACAAUAAGAGUUUUAAAACAUUGCCUUAAACCACACAAGUUUGUUCCGACAAGCUGCUUGAAAAACAUCUUAGAGAGUUUCAUUGGCCGAUUUGAUGCUAAACAAACCACAUGAAGAUGGUAAACAAGUCAGGAACAUCUGUAGACAUAAGGUGACUUUUUGGUUGAUCCAGGUAUAUAGCGUAUUAAUGUUUUAUCUCUCUAAAUGAGAGCUUUCUCUCUCUAGUGGAGAUUUUCCCUCCGCUUUGGAGGAGUUCCAAAAAAUUUCGAACACUCAAAAUUUCAAAACAAGAUUUCAGAACCCUUUUGCAAACCCUCAAUCAAAGAAUACCUGAGCGAUCCAAAACACUCAACAUCCAAGACCAUACAACAGACUUUCAUAUCCUCUAGUUUCAAUGCAAAUUUAGUAAUGUAAGGCUUUUAUUAUAGUAGAAUGGAUGCAAGCAUUAACUUUGUCCCCCAUUAAAGAGCAUAGCUAAGCCUUGAGCUUGUUGGUUGUGGGGUCAAGAAAGCACUACAACCUUGAUUUCCUUUUAUAUUGAUUUUUUUUUUUGUCGACAAUAGUAGAUGUCCUAUAACCUAAUCUAACCUAAUCUAGGGGUAGGGGGUAAGGGGAGAUGGUCAACUAAGACCAACCAUAAAUUGUGGCAAAUUUGAGGGAAGCAGGAGUAGAACCCUGACCUCCAGCAUCACCAAAGAGGGUGAUGACCACUGGACCAAAUGGCCAGUGGCUCCUUUUAUAUUGAUUAUCUUACCGUUUUUGUGCAGUUUUAUUUUACUCUUUCAUACUGUGGCUUUCUGUUCAACUGUAGUUUUUCCAUUAACUCACUUUAAUUGCUCUAUUUCUAAUCUACCCAGGAAGUAGAAAGAUCUGGUCUUGGAAGCUUCAAUUGAUACAGGACAUGUUCUAUAAGCACGAAGAUAUGGCAAAGAUCCUUACAAAAGCAUUCCAAAGGUUUGACCUGAGCAACAAAGAACUGGAAAGAAUAGAUCUGGAUGCAGAGAAUGUGCAGAUAGGAGUAGAAGAAUGCAAGCUGAGCUUAAAAGGAAGAAUCAUGGGAGAGGAAAUUGCUAAUUUCACAGGAGUUAAAAACUACACUCAACAAGUUUAACUUCGAAGAGGAGAAAGCCAAAGAGAAAGCUUUAAAUGGAAGACCAUGGAUCAUGAUAACCAACGGCAGGUUAUACAGCAAUGAACAUUAGGUAUAGAGAAGAGCACGGAAGCCUUUCAUGUAUGUUACAUUUGGAUACAAGUGUGGAUCCUCUUAAUCCACUAGCUAAGCAAAGUGGUAGGGUUCAAGAUUGGACAAAUGUUUUCGACAGUUAAAGAGGUUAUUAUCCCACUAGGAGGAGAAAAGAAGAGACAUAUGAAACUGUUAGCAAAAAAUGACAUAUCACAGCCUUUGGCGAGAGGAACUACUAUCAAAUUCAAUGGGAAGCCAAUAUGGAUAGAGUUUAGAUAUGGGAAAUGCCCUGAUUUUGCCAUAGAUGUGGAAUAAUAGCUUACUUUCAUGCAUAUGUGAAGGCAAAAAGGAAAAGAAAUAGGAUAACCAGUCUGCAAAAGGAAGAUGGAGAAUAGUGUACAAAUGGCCAAGAGAUCGUCUAGGAGAUUUGUAGAUACUAUGAACAAGGUAAGUUGCUGGUAUGAUUGCGAGAAGGAUGAGGGGGAGUAGAAAGCAUGUUGGAAGGCUGAGGAGAAGGGAGAGAGGUACAGCAAUUAGUGUGUUGUUUGUGGGAACUCAUUCCAAGUCCUCAUUUAUGUAAAGUAGAUGCUGUUAUUUGAAUCCUUUAAAGAGGAAGUGAAAGCAUCUUCAUUUUACUUAGGAGUCUGGUGCUUGUUUUUUCAGCAUUUUUCAAAUCGGUAUCCAAAACUAUAUAAUCAAAUUUGUUUUUUCACUAAUAGUCACAGGAUUUUAUAAAGGUAGUCAUAAAAACAAGAACCAGGCAUAGAGCUAUUAGGCUUAUUUGCUGCUGUACUCUUAUAUAGGAUGUUAACCUAGAAGUGCAGAUGUAAGCAUAUUCAGUAUAGUUUUAUGGGGAGGGGUAAUCCGAAAUCUUAUGAAAACAAGUGAUUGACGUUGAUAAAAUUUCUCUAUCCAACAUCAGCCUCAAAUCUUUCAUUUGCAUAUUAGAAGAUGAAUAACGCAUGAUCUUGAGGACAAUGUUCCACAGACAUACAAUAGUGGCUGUCACCCUAGUUCAGUUUCAUAUUGCUCAAGCAUUUCAAGUUCUUUGGUUUGAAUAUCUUAAGAUUAUAGAGAAUCCUUAGGAGCUAUGGGAAAGUUGCAUGCAGAAUCCUUAGGUGUCAUGCAGAAUUGGCAUGCAUAAUUUCUUUUAUAUUUUUAAUGAAAUGAUUUGACACAAUAUUGAUUUUUUCAAUGUUGAAUAUUCAGAUUGGUGGAGUGAAAAGCGUAACAUUAGGUGAUGAAGAAGCCCGAGUAAGAAAUAGCAAAAAAAUCAUCUUUGAGAGAGUGGCUUCUCCCACAUUUCCUUUUUUGGUUGAGGUUAGGGAGCGGGACUAUUGGGCCAUACAUCGGGUUAGUUGUUUAUUUUUUGGUAAUCAUUGAAAUCCUGAAUUAAGAUCUAUUUCACACCUUGUGUCUUCCAUGUUGAUAAAUUUUAUUUUUGUUAUUUUUUUUUUACUAUAUUUUUCUCGCCUAUUUCUUUGACCUAUAUUUUUCUCUCCUAUUUCUUUGGUGGGGUAUGGCAAAGGGUUGUUUGCAUCUGUGCUUUAGGAUUGUUAGUGACAAGAAAAGUCUAGUUUAUUUCUCAUGCAAUUGUAUCCUUCAUGAUGGAAUGCUCUAUAGUACGGUCUUUAAUUGGAAAGUCCACCUGGGGAAUGCCUACUAAAGACAGAGCUAAGAAGUUUAUAAUGACACUAACAACGGCCUUCCCUUGAAUUUUGCACAAAUUCAAGCUGUUUUUGUUACUUAAAUAUUCUUUUUUUCUAUUUUCAAUGUUCACUUGUGCAACCUCUGGUGCUAUGUAAUUUUGCUCUGCAUUGUGUGGAAGGAGGUCUUAGUAUUCUUUUUUUUUUUUUUUUUUUGGGGGCAUUGUUUGUAAGGCGGCCAUUGGUUCAAUACAUGCAAGUAAUAUUUUUCUCUGGUACGGAUAAAUCUAGUCAUUCAUAUAUUGUGGGAAAAAGGAUUCUUGUGCACUGAGUUUGUGUUAGCGUAAAACUUUGCUGUUUCUGUUUCUUUCAUGAUCUCUAUUAAAACUUCUUAUCUUCCAUACAUAGAACAAAAUAACCAGCUGGGUUUGCUCUAUAACAUUUACUUAAGACCCCAAUUUAGGCAUUGUUGGCUUCUUGUUUGGCCGUGUAUGCGAUGAAUUAGAGGAUAGGUGCCUGAUCAUCUAAGGUUUGACUGCCUGUAGUCCAGCAGUGCAGUUAAGUUAUUUAAGAUCAAGCUGGAGGUCCAGCAGUACUAUGGUUAUGGUGGAUGUCUUCAAAUGUCAAACCUAGAGGAUUCUUGUCUAGAUUGAAACAACUUUAUCACUUUGUUUUUCUCUUUGCAAGAUAUUUUAGGUGGAAUAAUUUUUUUCUUUUUCCAAUUUCAUUAUUUAGACAGGAAGGAGUGUGGAUGCUUUGCUUCGUGGGAGGAAAUCGUUUGUUGAGGUAAGCAAUGUAUUUUAUCCGUGUUCCAUGAUAUUUCUGGGUUAUGCUUUAAAAGGGUAGUUAAAUCUGCUGUAACAUGGGCAUAUAUAUGGUACAGAAUAAAGGCUGUAAAUAUAGCAAUUAAUUGAGUGAAGAAAAAACUAUGGAUGUAUAUUUGAAAACCUAAUAUCUCUUGGCAAGAGUUCUUUCUCAUUGCUGAUUAGGAUAUGGUCAACAUGUGCUUUUAAACUCCUCUAAAAUGUGAAAGUAGCCAGGUUCUUUAAUAGGUUUCUACCCCAUACACAUUAUAGAUAUUUGGUGAAGUAUCUUGCAUCCUUGAUUGAUGGUCGAUUUAGUUGUUAAAGGAAGGUCCGGAUGAAGUGGAAAAGUUCCAACUUUCUAAAACUAUAACGGGAUUAAGAAGUUAACUCAAAUUGUGGUAAUAGCUUCAACAUGCUUAACUAGAAAUGAUGAGAACUCGAAUGAUUCUGCAAAAUGGAAAAACACAAAUUCCUGGUAGAACUCCUAAAACACGGUUACCUUUAGAAAUGUAUAAUGUACAGAACGGCUCUAUUCUAUUUAACAUGCAUUGCUUUUACAGAUUAGGAAAAGAGAUAAAGACAUGAAAAUCAUGAUUGAAAGAUGGAAGAUGGAAGCCUGAAUUGUCACUUUGGGAACUGGUAAUAUCAGUUUGAUCCUGUCAGCAGCUUGCACAGAGCUUCUUGAAUGUGAGAUUCUAACAUAGUUCUUGACGAAUGGAGGCUUUUACUGGUUUUUUGUUGCAUAUGAAGGAUGAUUGAUGUUGUAAAGCUUUGCAUAAGGUAGGUGGUGAGAUUUUUAAUGAUCCUAGAAUCCCGUCAAGAAGCUUAUUGGGUGACUUGGGAUCUCUAACCAACUCCGACUUUUAUCUUUCAAAUCCAUUGCAUGAGAUCUUACCAGAGAUCCUAGAAAAUUCAAUGAGAUCAGUAACUUUCAUAUCGAGAUGGUGAUUAAAAGAGGGCCACCUCUUGGGGGGUUCUAAUUUCUAAAGGUCAGGAUUCCAAUUCUUCGCUGCCAGUAACCACCCUCCACUUGAGGACUACAGCUCAAGCAGGUCCCUCCCCCGCAAAAUACUUCGCCAACCCCACGUGGCAUUGGUAUUACAAUUGACAGUGAGGAAGUUCUUGUUCAUAUAAAUGUUUUGAAAUGAAAAAACUCACUCUGACAAAGAUUGCCUUAGCUAAGAAUGCCCGCCCUAUUCAUUUUCUCAGUAGAUCUAAUACCUCGUCUCCAUUGUUAUUUAGACCUGGGUAGAAUAGACAAGGGUUUCCAAUUGAUACCCUAGCCUUCUACAAAUAAAUCUGGCAAAUGUCGAUCCACGCUUUAAGCAGCACUCCGAGGGAUAUGAAACAUUGCAAGCGCAAACGAUCUCCGCUUUCCAAUGAGCUUUGCGCGAACUAUUCACUAAGGCCUUGUUUAGAAGGUCAUUUUGCACCAAAAUUUUUAUGAUUUUCGUGAACAUAUUUUUUAAUUUUUUUUUUACUUCAUAUAUAUCAAAUUGUUAUAGUACAAAAAUUUUAGAAAAUUGCAAUCCAUACAGGACAUAAAUUUGACUUUAUAAAAUUUACCUUUUGACCAGACAAAAAAAAAAUGAGAAAAUUUUUUGCUAACACCAAUUUCUGAGUGUAAUGCGAAUAAUGAAUGUAAAGUGUAUGAGUGGAUAAUGAUAGGCGUUUGUUGGGGAAAAAAAAAAAAAAGGACAAUGAUAGGCACUGUAAUGAAUUUAGUGUAUAUGAAACUAUGAAUUCAAGACAAAAAAAAUACUAUGAAUUAGCUAUGAAUUUUUAGCUAUAAUGCCCUUGUUAUUUUCAUAGCUUAUUAGUAUCAAAAUAAGAAAAUUGCACAAAAUAUUCCUCGCUUUUUGCAAAAAAAAAAAAGAAAAAAAUUUACCCUCCUCGUAAUUAGAUUGUUGAUCUCAUGUCAUUCGUGAAAGCAAGUCAUGGUCCAAGACCUCCAAUUUUUGGCAACUUUUUGACCCACCGCACAGGUUCAAUUGUACAGGAGCAAAAAAUGCCAGAUUAAGGGGACGAAAUAAAAACUUAAAGAAACAAACUACUAUAAAAAAAAAAAAAAAAAUCAUAUAAACUUGCACGUCACUGCCUCGGUUCUCAUAGGAAGUAUUUCUUUAAUUAUUCACCUAAACAAUUAACAUGCAAUUAAUGAUGCAACAACCAAAUCUUGAUCCGUGAUUUACUUCCUAAAAGCUAGUAGUAUUAAACUAGCCCACUGGCCUCUGCUUUGUUAUUACAGCUUUCAUGAGAAGUCACUCCUAAAUACAGAGAAUGAUUUCCACUCCCAAAUUUUAGCAAAAUAUGGAUUCCAAAAUGUUUGAAUAGAGAAAAAAAUUACAUUUAACAAAAAUGUCAUUGAUUUCAAUUAUACUAUUACACCGUAAACAGAAUUAAAUAUCUUAGUAUUCAAGUUUGUUUGAUCAUUGUAUCGUAUUUGAAAUUGUGUUCAAGUUUGAUUUGUUUAUAUACCAAGUUGAGUUUGAAAAUAUUAAUUUUUAUCAAGUCAAACUCUAAUAGCUUGAAUAUUUUGGUUGCAAAGUUCCAAUGUUUAUGAAAUCUAACUCUAAUAAUUUGAAUAUUUUACAUACAAAGUUCCAAUGUUAAUCAAGCUAAGUUUUGAGUAAGAAGAGAUUGAUUGAUUGGUACGUCAAAUCCCAAUUUUAUUUCAUGUGUAGUUAGAGAUUCAACUUUCUAAAGAACAUUGUUUUGAAAAUCGGAUUGGAUCGGCGGUUCAAUCGAUCGAACUGCGAACUGAACAAAACUUUGAUCCGGUUCAUAUCUCGGGUUGACUGGAGUUAAAAAUUAGUAAGAACCGGAUUGAACCGUUGAAUUGGCGGUUUUUUCGUUUUUGUAUAUUAAAAUGAAAAAAUAUAUAAAAAAAGAUUAAGUUUUCUUUAACACUAAAGAUUAAUUAUUAAAUGUCACAUCCACUCACUUUCUUCUCAUUUUUUGUCUUUUUAUCAAGUUUGCAUCUCUAUUUUCUAUUUUCCUGAUUUUCUCCAAAUUCCAAACUUCUAUUUUUUUUUUAAAAAAAGUUGUAAUAUCUAAAUCCAAAAAACGUGAAUUAAAAAUUUAAACUCACAAUGUCUAAUUCCCAUGGACGUGAAUUUUGUAUAAUUUUAGAAUAUUGUGGUAUUUUUGGAUUGGAUUUGAAAUUAUUUUUUGGUAGAUACAAUUAAGACUGAGAUGAAAUUUAUUUGUUACAACUUAUAAUUUAAAAUUUAUUUGUAAAAAUUCAAGUUCUUUAAAAAUAUUAAUUUUUAUCAUAUAAAGUUUUAAAUUAGUCCAUUGCAUAUUUUAUUUUGUACAUGUAUUUAUAUAAAUUAUAUUUUAAAAAAUUCAUUGAAUUAGAGUUAAAUCGAUCGAUCCGAACAUCUCGCCGGUUCAAUUAACAUCCUGAGUUUCAAAACAUUGCUAAAGAGGUAGGUCUUGGCGCAUGGCAGCCGGGGAAUUGUUGGCCCGGACUACAAGAUAAGAAGUGAGCGGAUGAGAGCAAACGGUCCAGAGAUUGGCAGACUUAGAGAUAGACAAGUUGACAGAUCAGAGCAGGAAUAGUGGUUAGAUAAUUGAAGCCUUGGAUUAUUGUAUAUAGUGGUUAUUAUUAGUACAUACUGGGGGACAAAGAUAGGCGGGAUUGAAUUGCAAAUUGCAAUUAGAAUGGCAUCGGCAUGGUUGAGUACAAACAUUGCAGCUACCGGUGCAAGUAGCAUAAUGUAUGGGAUGUCUGGAAUGGUAGUAAGAGUAGCCCCCGUUGAUAAGACUAUAAAUGUAAAAAACGUAAACAGUCACAAUCAUUAUAGCUGCUGCAGCACCGCCACCAGUAGUACUAGUACUGCUAGUAUUUAUCCUCCAACGAAGCUCUCGUCGUCUUCGUCGAGGGGCAGAAAGAGGUGCUACGCUAACGGGAGGAGAGCUGAAGCGGUAAUCAGAGCUGAAGCAGAGACCCCAAUCCCAAUGGCAACCAGCGUCAUCGAGAAAUCCGGAAUCAAGAUCAUUAAAAGCCCUCCUGAAUCUAGGCUCUCUGACCUCGGCGUCAGAACUUGGCCC
rnacentral:lncRNA from 1 species